AUGAACGCUGGCGGCGCGCCUAACACCUUCCAGUCGCACGAUUAAAGCACCUUCGGGUGUGUAUAAAGUGGCGAACGGCUGAGUAACACGUGGGCAACCUGCCCCUUUCAUUGGGAUAGCCACGGGAAACCGUGGAUAAUACCGAAUACUUCGAGACUUCCGCAUGGAAGACUCGAGAAAGCUCCGGCGGAGAGGGAUGGGCCCGCGGCCUGUUAGCUUGUUGGUGGGGUAACGGCCUACCAAGGCAAUGAUGGGUAGCUGGGUUGAGAGACCGACCAGCCAGAUUGGGACUGAGACACGGCCCAGACUCCUACGGGAGGCAGCAGUGGGGAAUCUUGCACAAUGGGCGAAAGCCUGAUGCAGCGACGCCGCGUGCGGGAUGAAGGCCUUCGGGUUGUAAACCGCUUUCAGCAGGGACGAGGCGAAAGUGACGGUACCUGCAGAAGAAGCCCCGGCUAACUACGUG
rnacentral:rRNA from 1 species